rnacentral:rRNA from 1 species
AACGAACGCUGGCGGCAGGCUUAACACAUGCAAGUCGAACGCCCCGCAAGGGGAGUGGCAGACGGGUGAGUAACGCGUGGGAAUCUACCCAGUUCUACGGAACAACUGAGGGAAACUUCAGCUAAUACCGUAUACGCCCUACGGGGGAAAGAUUUAUCGGAAUUGGAUGAGCCCGCGUUGGAUUAGCUAGUUGGUGGGGUAAUGGCCUACCAAGGCGACGAUCCAUAGCUGGUCUGAGAGGAUGAUCAGCCACACUGGGACUGAGACACGGCCCAGACUCCUACGGGAGGCAGCAGUGGGGAAUAUUGGACAAUGGGCGCAAGCCUGAUCCAGCCAUGCCGCGUGAGUGAUGAAGGCCUUAGGGUUGUAAAGCUCUUUCAGUGGGGACGAUAAUGACGGUACCCACAGAAGAAGCCCCGGCUAACUUCGUGCCAGCCGCCGCAGUAACAC